AUUGAACGCUGGCGGCAGGCCUAACACAUGCAAGUCGAGCGAGCGGCGGACGGGUGAGUAAUAUAUGUGGACUGCCCGUUAGAGGGGGAUAACUACUGGGAACGGUGGCUAAUACCGCAUACUAUCGGAUAACCCAUAUGGGAUUUUCUAUUGGGUGUGGUAAUGGCUCACCUGGGCGACACUCCCUAGCUGGUCUGAGAGGAUGAUCAGCCACACUGGGACUGAGACACGGCCCAGACUCCUACGGAGGCAGCAGUGGGGAAUAUUGCACAAUGGGCGCAAGCCUGAUGCAGCCAUGCCGCGUGUGUGAAGAAGGCCCUAGGGUUGUAAAGUACUUUCAGUCGGGAGGCGUUACCGACAGAAGAAGCACCGGCUAACUCCGUGCCAGCAGCCGCGGUAAUAC
rnacentral:rRNA from 1 species